rnacentral:rRNA from 1 species
AUUGAACGCUGGCGGCAGGCUUAACACAUGCAAGUCGAGCGGAGCGAGGGUGCUUGCACCUUAGCUUAGCGGCGGACGGGUGAGUAAUGCUUAGGAAUCUGCCUAUUAGUGGGGGACAACAUCUCGAAAGGGAUGCUAAUACCGCAUACGUCCUACGGGAGAAAGCAGGGGAUCUUCGGACCUUGCGCUAAUAGAUGAGCCUAAGUCGGAUUAGCUAGUUGGUGGGGUAAAGGCCUACCAAGGCGACGAUCUGUAGCGGGUCUGAGAGGAUGAUCCGCCACACUGGGACUGAGACACGGCCCAGACUCCUACGGGAGGCAACAGUGGGGAAUAUUGGACAAUGGGGGGAACCCUGAUCCAGCCAUGCCGCGUGUGUGAAGAAGGCCUUAUGGUUGUAAAGCACUUUAAGCGAGGAGGAGGCUACUUUAGUUAAUACCUAGAGAUAGUGGACGUUACUCGCAGAAUAAGCACCGGCUAACUCUGUGCCAGCAGCCGCAGUAAAAC